AUACGUAGGGGGCGAGCGUUAUCCGGAAUUAUUGGGCGUAAAGAGUACGUAGGUGGUUUCCUAAGCGAGGGGUUUAAGGCACUGGCUUAACCAAUGUUCGCCCCCCGAACUGGGAGACUUGAGUGCUGGAGAGGAAAGCGGAAUUCCUAGUGUAGCGGUGAAAUGCGUAGAUAUUAGGAGGAACACCAGUGGCGAAGGCGGCUUUCUGGACAGUAACUGACACUGAGGUACGAAAGUGUGGGGAGCAAACAGGAUUAGAUACCCUGGUAGUCCACACCGUAAACGAUGAGCACUAGGUGUCGGGGAGCAAUUCUUCGGUGCCGCAGUUAACGCAUUAAGUGCUCCGCCUGGGGAGUACGUACGCAAGUAUGAAACUCAAAUGAAUUGACGGGG
rnacentral:rRNA from 1 species